rnacentral:snRNA from 1 species
GUUUGACAAGGAACUCUCUG